ensembl:lncRNA
ACUCGGGACCAGCACUCCCCACGUUACAUCAAAGCCUUACAAGUCUGUAAAAAGAAGCUGUUGGACAGAAAGUCAUCAACUGAAUGACUUGAGAACUGACUGUGCUAUGCUGUUGCUGAUGACUCCAGUUAAUCCAAAGAGACAUGUUGUGACACCAGGUGAGAUGAGUCCUUCGUCACAGAUGGUGUGGUCAGUGAGGAUGGUCGCCUGCAGGUUUAAGGUCGUUGAAUUUCCAACAACAUCCACUGCCACUGUACUUAAGGGAAGUUAAAGACUUUCUUCUGCACCUACAUUUGGAUCACCCAAAUCUAUGACAGUCAUUCAGGCAGUAAUGCCUGGACUGGAAACAAGCAUCCUUAAAAUAUUACAACAUACCAAGUUUCUGUGUUUGAAUGCAAAACAAAUGUGUUGUUUAAUCUAGAGACUGCACUUGUGACAGAACAAUAAAUACAUUACUUAAUCAUCAAUAUAAAAUGUAACUUGCAAAACAAAGUUAUGGGAAGCCUAAACUUAGUUUCACAGUAAUUAAAUCUGAGACUUUGUUUCAGGGUAAGAUUAUAACAAUGAUGCCAAUAUUGUUGCUUGUUGCUCAGCAGAACAGUGUCCAGUGUGUUGACUGAUAGACUUUUUUGUAUUUACAAAUAAAAGUUGGGCUGAUUUUUACCACCAUUAAAAGAAGUGUUGUUAAUUAUUCUUUUUGAUUCAUAUUUGCAUACAGUGUUGUAUUAAUAUGUGUUGUACUAGAAAUGUCAAGGAUGAUAAAAUAUAAUGUGAAUUUUAUUUUUAUUUUUAUUUUUUUUGAAAAAAGUAAAUUACCACAAAUUGUUUUUUAAUUUAGUAGAACUUGAAAUGUUUGUCAGUGGGUAAACAAAUAGUAUUGCACAGUCAGAAACAUCAGGUUAUUCUUAGUACUGCAUACUUGCAAUUAAUAAGUUGUCCCAACUUAGUCAAAAUCUGCAAUAUAACUGCAUGGAUACUUGUCAUCCCUUAUAGCACGGGUGUAUUCCAAAAUGAUAAACCAGGAUCAAAUUGUGAAAGAGUGGUUCGGGGAGCAGGAGGCAUCAUUUUCACACUUGGAUCAUCAAGUCCAAGAAUCAAGAAUCUUUGGGAUGUGCUUCAUCAGUGCAAGAUCUUGGUGAGAAAUUAACCUGACUCUGGAUAGACUGAAGUGAAGCCAAAGCAAAUGCAUGGUGCCAUCAAAGCUGGAGGAGAUCCAAAUUUCCCUUUCCCUUGUCCUCCCACAGUUUAAACACAAGGUGGCAGUGUUGCACUGAUAGAAAACAACCCAACAGCAGAAGCGCCCCAGCUUAGAUUCUACUUUACUCAAGUAUUUCUAUUUACUUAACAGUAUUCUGCAGGAAAUGUUGUACUUUUGUACCUCACUUGGUUUUAUUUGGUAACAUUCGUCUUUUUGAUUCAAAUUAAACCUUCAGAUGUGUUAAAGGAUUGAUUUUAAAGCUCUAUAGAGGGCUUCAGAUUUGCUGCAGAGCCUGCAACAAACUGUGCAGCUCGUUUGUUUUUAAGAACAGAUGCUAAAAGACAGAAAAGAGACACGUGUCCUUCCUCCAGUGAACUCCUCCGUUAACCAGUCUCUCUAAAGUGUUUUAGACUCUGCUGGAGGAUUUAAAAUUGCUGCCAUAAAUUACUGUCCACGACCUCAAUGCAGUGAAUUAAUGCACCGCAUGUUUAAUCUACAGUCUGUCAAGCUCCACAAGACCAUUUUAUUCUAUGACAAGGCUUAAUCUGUUUCAGCCACAGGGGUCAUUAGCUUAUUCCUGGAUGCUCACGCAAUGACUUUUACUGCAAACGGGCUGAAAGCGAAAUUACAAAUGAGCCAUGAUGUUGUCAGAAGGAGCUGAGCACACGUGAAGGGUGAAGCAGUGAGUACGACUGGCACAUUUUUAAAGUGAAGAUGUGUCCUCACACAGAGUUGUUCCUGCACUCUUUUUCUGUCCCAGUCAGAGCUUUUUCUGCACUUCACUGAUCCUCUCCGUGCAGUCAUGACUGUGCAUUUAAAGCACCAAGUGAUGGAAAGUAACUAAAUAGAUUUCAUUAAGUAGUGAAUUUCUUCAGUUUUUCCUACAUUUGAGUGUAAUUUCAUUUGUUUGAUUACUACUAUUUACAGGGAAGGUAACUGCUAGUUCUUAUUGCACUGCAUUAAUCAGACAUCCAUCCAUCCAUCCAUCCAUGCUCCUAACAGCUUAUCCACUUCAGGGUUGAGGGGACAAUAGGACCAGAGUACUCCUAGGACAGGUUGGCAGUCUAUCACUGGGCCAAAAUAAAAGCAAUAAACUGAUAAUUUUAUAAUUAUUAAAGAUCGAGGAAGGAUAUAAAAUAGUGAAAAAUGUAAACAUCUUGUAAGGUAUAUCCUUCCCUUUC